AUUGAACGCUGGCGGCAGGCCUAACACAUGCAAGUCGAGCGGAGCGGCGGACGGGUGAGUAAUGCUUAGGAAUCUGCCUCUUAGUGGGGGACAACAUCUCGAAAGGGAUGCUAAUACCGCAUACUACUAGAUGAGCCUAAGUCGGAUUAGGUAGUUGGUGGGGUAAAGGCCUACCAAGGGGACGAUCUUUAUCGGGGCUGGGCGGAUGGUCCGCCAAACUGGGACUGGGACAAGGCCCAGACGCCUACGGGAGGCAGCAGUGGGGAAUAUUGGACAAUGGGGGGAACCCUGAUCCAGCCAUGCCGCGUGUGUUAAGAAGGCCUUAUGGUUGUAAAGCACGUUAAGCGAGGAGGCGUUACCCGCAGAAGAAGCACCGGCUAACUCCGUGCCAGCAGCCGCGGUAAUAC
rnacentral:rRNA from 1 species